GAGAUGAGGUAGCAUAAUGGUUAGUGCAUUGGACUCUGGUUCGAGCGGUCUGGGUUCAAGUGCUGGCCGAGUACUCA